AACACAUGCAAGUCGAUGGGGAAGUGGUGCUUGCACCAUGGUAACCAUGGCGGACGGGUGAGUAACGCGUAAGGAACUUGCCUGCGGGACUGGGAUAACAGCAGGAAACUGCUGAUAAUACCGGAUAAGGUCAUUAAGCUGCAUAGCUUAGUGAUGAAAGGAGACGCCUGCGGAGAGCCUUGCGUCCUAUUAGCUAGUUGGAGGGGUAACGGCCCACCAAGGCGAAGAUAGGUAGCCGGCCUGAGAGGGUGGACGGCCACAAGGGGACUGAGAUACGGCCCUUACUCCUACGGGAGGCAGCAGUGGGGAAUAUUGGACAAUGGGGGCAACCCUGAUCCAGCAAUUCUGUGUGCACGAAGACGGUUUUCGGAUUGUAAAGUGCUUUCAGCAGGGAAGAAGGAAGUGACGGUACCUGCAGAAGAAGCGACGGCUAAAUACGUGCCAGCAGCCGCGGUAAUACGUAUGUCGCGAGCGUUAUCCGGAAUUAUUGGGCAUAAAGGGCAUCUAGGCGGCCUUUCAAGUCAGGGGUGAAAACCUGCGGCUCAACCGCAGGCCUGCCUUUGAAACUGAUAGGCUGGAGUACCGGAGAGGUGGACGGAACUGCACGAGUAGAGGUGAAAUUCGUAGAUAUGUGCAGGAAUGCCGAUGAUGAAGAUAGUUCACUGGACGGUAACUGACGCU
rnacentral:rRNA from 1 species